rnacentral:rRNA from 1 species
GAUGAACGCUGGCGGCGUGCUUAACACAUGCAAGUCGAACGGUGAAGCAGGAGCUUGCUCUUGUGGAUCAGUGGCGAACGGGUGAGUAACACGUGAGCAACCCGCCCCUGACUCUGGGAUAAGCGCUGGAAACGGCGUCUAAUACUGGAUAUGUGAUGUGACCGCAUGGGCUGCAUCUGGAAAGAAUUUCGGUUGGGGAUGGGCUCGCGGCCUAUCAGCUUGUUGGUGUGGUAAUGGCUGACCAAGGCGUCGACGGGUAGCCGGCCUGAGAGGGUGACCGGCCACAAUGGGACUGAGACACGGCCCAGACUCCUACGGGAGGCAGCAGUGGGGAAUAUUGCACAAUGGGCGGAAGCCUGAUGCAGCAACGCCGCGUGAGGGAUGACGGCCUUCGGGUUGUAAACCUCUUUUAGCAGGGAAGAAGCGAAAGUGACGGUACCUGCAGAAAAAGCACCGGCUAACUACGUGCCAGCCGCCGCCGUAA